rnacentral:rRNA from 4 species
GCCUUGUACACACCGCCCGUCACACCAUGGGAGUGGGCUGCACCAGAAGUAGAUAGCUUAACCUUCGGGAGGGCGUUUACCACGGUGUGGUUCAUGACUGGGGUGAAGUCGUAACAAGGUAGCCCUAGGGGAACCUGGGGCUGGAUCACCUCCUUACUGA